UGAAGUUUCCCUCAGGAUAGCUUGCACUCGGUUGAGACGAGUCUCAUCCGAUAGAGCGAAUUGAUUAUAUGCAUUUGGAGUCGAAACGACCUCAACAUCUAUUCUCAAACUCCAAAUAGAUUGGGAUCCCCUGGCUUUGUUAAAAGUUAAACCGUGGGAAUAGGAUCAGAGUGCCAAGUGGGCCAAUUUUGGUAAGCAGUACUGGGAGCUGUGGUGGGAAAAAACCAAACGCAGAGUUUAGGCGCCUAUGUAAAUCCAUUUUCAGGGCUAGUUGACUUUGAAGGGAAG
rnacentral:ncRNA from 1 species